AAUUAAGGCAUGAAUUCGUCAAAACCAUGUCCUAACGCCUUUUGUAUAGUAUUUUUUUAAUUUAUAAAGUUUUUUAAAAUGUUUCAAGGCGAUCUUAAUUACACCUCUGGAAAAAUCGAGUACUUAUGGACAACGAAGUACUUUAUGAGCAAAAGAAGUGUGUCUGUAAAAAUCACUUAUUAUAUUCCUGAUCAUAAUACAUACGUACUUUCGUUGUUCCAUAAGUUUCAUUGUUCCAUAAGUACUCGAUUUUUUCCAGAAUUGAUAAUACACGUUAAGAUCGCAUUGAAAUAUUAAAUUUUUAAAAGUUUAAACAACUUGGAUUUCAUUAUGAUGAGAGGAAGCAUUCGAGAAAAAGGUAAUAUAUGUAAUUAAUUAUGGUCACAUAAAGUAUUAGAUUAUGAUCAGUUAAAUAGGACCAUUUCGAAACGGAUAAAAAUUCUAACAUGGACAAGGAGGAUUUGCAUAUUAACUGAAAUUGGAUUGCAAUAGUAGUGAAAAUUGUUGUUCAAUGUAUUGCUUAUGUAAAACCUAAUAAAACCCAAUAAAACCCAUAAAACCCAUUAAAACCCAAAAAACCCGUUAAAACCCAUUAAAACCCCUGGGUCGUUACUUUUUGAUUAAAACCCUGGGUUUUUCCGAACCCUGAACCACUCGUUUUUUUCUCUUCUUCCAAACAACACAAGUUCUUGUAAAGCUUGACAAACAGAAUUAUCUAACCACUCACUCUUAAAAAAACUGGUAUUAAAUCAUUACUGACCGGAGUACUACCGGCACGGUAAUAACAAUAACCGGCAUUACCUUUUAGUAAUGUUAUAUAUGAUGGUAAUGAAAAAUUUACCACUCAGAAGCAAACAAAUUACUACCAAUCCGGUAAAAAGUUAUUACCAAAUCAAUGACACUACCAGAUUUUUAACAGUGUGUAUCUACAAUAAGGUCAAUCCUGACGAAAAUGCAGAACAAAUAAUAAUAUUGUCAAAAAUUGUCUAACGUGGUGGAGGGAGGAGGAAUGCGACACUGUUAAUAAUCAUGUCAUAAUUUAAGAUAACAUCUUAUCUCCAGGGGUUUGUAGUAAGUGUAAUCACGUGAAAAGUGUGGGUAUAAUGGGAGCACACGUACUUCAAAUUAUUAUUAAUUGUACACGUAUGCAUGCAUUUAUUUGUGUACAUUGAGUUGCACAUUUAUGUACCAACUGCAUCUGCAUGCAUACCUGGAAAUGUGCAUGGUUUACAAAGUUGACUUGACUGUAGUGUUUCGUUUUGCAUGUACAAAACUAAUUCUUGACUGGACACUGUCCAAAAGCGGGCAAAACUAUGCAAAUAAUUUUGGACAUCCAAAAUGCCCAUAAGCGUCCAAAAUAUCAGACAAGGUCCAAAAUAUCAAAAAGCGAUCAACAACGACUGCCUCGGGGUGGACCACAUGCCAAGCAGUCUAAAAUUGUAGCGGCGACACGGCGGAGUUCAAUCUUUUGCGAUGAAGACGACCGAUAAAUGCCGGGUUGAAGGGAACUUUGCGGAAUAUCUCGUGCAAUUACUCCCCUCCGUGAAGAAACUUGAAAUUCGGGCAGUGUGGCAACGAGGCGAUUGAACCGUUCAAACUGUGGGAUCUGGACGAGGUCAAGCUGGUCGUGCGGCAUGAGCACGUGGCCGCCGGGGUGGUCAGCGUCCUCAAGGAAUGUAGUGGUUUGGAAAGGCGUCAAAACCGUCCAUUUCCAGUGCACUGAGAUCAGAGAAAACGACUUUUCUGACAGUAUUCAAGAUGUCAUUUUGUUCGUAGAGGAUUUAAACGCAUGGAAAUCUCGGGAGUUGUGAUCCCGGAAACUGUUGAAGUCAUGUUUUUGAAGCUGGUGGGACACCUGUACAUUUUCUGGGAGGUGUGUAUCACAAUUAAAUUAGUGGCAUGUGAGAAACUAGGUGAUAAGUAAUUAGUGCGGUUUUUACUGUUUUACUGG